CUCCUUACAGCUACUGUCAGAUGCCAGCCCCCUGCAUAUUCCUUCAAUCUAUCUGGCUACAUCACGAGAGAUAAAAGACUAUAUACAAUUUUUUUUAAACUUUUUAAAAAAAAACUACCUAGUGAAUUGUUUUAUGUAGAUAAUUAUAAUACUGGCCACUGUCUUUCAGAACAACUUCAUGCUGUGACCACACAGCUGUAAUGAAGAGAUCACACUGGGAAGUGAAAAGUCUCCCUAUCCUCUGGGAUUAUAUGCAGAUUUCCCUUCUUCCAGAAAGGUUUCAGAGCUUCGGAGAAGAGAAGCAGCAGUCAGGAGCCGUGGAAGGAAUUGUCUGCCUCUCCCAUUCUGCUAGCCUGGAGAAAAGAGACUGUUUGCACAGGAUAUAUGAAGAAGAGAGAGCUUCCCAUCUACGGGGAGCACUCGGCUGCCAGGUUCCUGAGAGGCUUGGGCUGUCAUCCUUCAAAAGUUACUUCCUCAUUGCAUUGGGAGCUGCUAAAUCCCACAAAACUGCCAAUCAAAGCACCAUGGCUGUAGUUAUUCACGGAUGUAUAGAGAAGAAAGAGUGGUACCCACCAAGGAGAAUCAGCCAGUAAGAGAGGAAGAAUCUCCAGCCACUGAGGGUGAUGGUGAAGAAGAAACAUACUCUGCAGUCCAAUCAGGAGACAUCAAUCCCCACAUCCACAGGGAUAACAGGCAAUGGGCAUUUUUGAAAUUUGAUACAGGGUUGUUAUGGACUGAAUGUUGGGGGGCUCCCUCAUCUAUUGAAACUCUGUUCCCCAAUGUGGAUGUUAUCAGGAGAGGGGGGCUUUGUAGGAAAGGACUGAGAUUAAUGUUCUUAUAAGAGAAAGGAGAGAGAUCAUCUCUCUCAAGAGAACAUAGGAAGCAAGCAGCAGUUUGUAAACCAGGAAGACAACCUCACUGAAAAUCAAGCUACUCUGGAAAACUGAUUUUAGAUUCCAGCCCCAAGAACUGUGAGAAAUACAUGUUUGUUUAUAUUUGUUAUAUCAGCUCAAGCCAGGAUGGAAGCGGAGCCUGGGGUCACUAUAUUUGAAUGUUAAAGUGAAAGGGUGACCUUCAAAUCUAGAACACUUUAUGAUCCAAUGUCAGGUGACUCUUGGACUAUAAUAGUGUUAUGAUUUGUAUUUUUUAUAAACAAUGUUUGGAGCAGGUGACUGACUUAUUUGGUGUCAUUUAUGAGAUACCAUGGAAUUCCUCUCUGCUUGAAAUUACCUCCCUCCACUUCCUGAAUAUUAUAAGUUACAGGUAAAUUUGGAUUGUAAAGGGACACAUCAGUCCUACAUUAGCAAACUAAUUCCCACAUUAGUAUAACAUUAAACAAAUUUCCCUUCCUCUUAGAAGUUACCCAAAAUUAUCUGAAAUUGCUGAGGAGGUAAAAGAGGAAAGAGAUGGCAAAACUGAUCCAAGGCAGGGAUAAGCUCUUAGGGCCUCACACAUAGCAUUAAUGCCCUGGGUGCUGGAAGUGAUGAGACAGGGUGAAAGGAUGUGAAAACGUUGGUGUUGAACAUAAUUAUAACUGCUUAGAAAUUUUGCCUGGAGCUAAGGUUGCACUGAAAAUAAUAAAAUUCAAAUUGCCUACAUGCUCAUCACUUAAAAAAAAAAUUGUUUCCCUUCGCGCUUUCUUCUCCAAAGGUGAUCUCUAUGCAUUUGUUGUAGGUCUCCU
rnacentral:lncRNA from 1 species